GAUGAACGCUGGCGGCGUGCCUAAUACAUGCAAGUCGAGCGAAUGGAUUGAGAGCUUGCUCUUAUGAAGUUAGCGGCGGACGGGUGAGUAACACGUGGGUAACCUGCCCAUAAGACUGGGAUAACUCCGGGAAACCGGGGCUAAUACCGGAUAACAUUUUGAACCGCAUGGUUCGAAAUUGAAAGGCGGCUUCGGCUGUCACUUAUGGAUGGACCCGCGUCGCAUUAGCUAGUUGGUGAGGUAACGGCUCACCAAGGCAACGAUGCGUAGCCGACCGGGGAGGGUGAUCGGCCACACUGGGACUGGGACACGGACCAGACUCCUACGGGAGGAAGCAGUAGGGAAUCUUCCGCAAUGGACGAAAGUCUGACGGAGCAACGCCGCGUGAGUGAUGAAGGCUUUCGGGUCGUAAAACUCUGUUGUUAGGGAAGAACAAGUGCUAGUUGAAUAAGCUGGCACCUUGACGGUACCUAACCAGAAAGCCACGGCUAACUACGUGCCAGCCGCCGCCGUAA
rnacentral:rRNA from 1 species